rnacentral:tRNA from 1 species
GCCUUCGUGGUGUACUGGUCAGUAUUCUCGACGCGUAUUCGAGAGGUCCGUGGUUCGAGUCUUUGCGAUGGCA